UACGGAGGAUGCGAGCGUUAUCCGGAUUUAUUGGGUUUGAAGGGUGCGUAGGCGGACGCUUAAGUCAGCGGUAAAAUUGCGGGGCUCAACCUCGUCGAGCCGUUGAAACUGGGUGCCUUGAGUGGGCGAGAAGUACGCGGAAUGCGUGGUGUAGCGGUGAAAUGCAUAGAUAUCACGCAGAACUCCGAUUGCGAAGGCAGCGUACCGGCGCCCUACUGACGCUGAAGCACGAAGGCGUGGGUAUCGAGCAGG
rnacentral:rRNA from 1 species